CGAUCCUUUCUCUCGCCCUCGUUGCGAUCGAGACUUUCCCUUUCUCUCGCCCUCGUUGCGAUCGAGUCCUUUGUCCCUGCCAGCCGAACUACGGCAACUCUGAUUCUCAUGUUCAGAUGAGAUACGUAGGCACGAGACGCGAUGUCUUGCCGAGUUUGACUAACCACUAACACUAACUCUUUUCUCUCACCCCUGUGUGAUU
rnacentral:lncRNA from 1 species